AUGAGUGGGGCCUGUAGUCGGGCUCCCCGGAGCCUCCGCAGGUCAGGACACGAGUCAGACACCUCUGCUCCCCAAGAACCCCACGUUCCUGCCACUCAGGGCUGCGGGCAGGGUGUCCUGGCCAAAGCCUCCAUCCAGGCCCCCCUCGUCUUCCCCUUGGCCACCUGCUGCAAAGGCACCAUCGCCACUGCCCCGUCCGUGACACUGGGCUGCCUGGUCACGGGCUACUUCCCGAUGCCGGUGACCGUGACCUGGGAUGCAGGGUCCCUGAACAAGAGCGUCGUGACCCUCCCCGCCACCCUCCAGGAGACCUCUGGCCUCUACACCACCACCAGCCACGUGACCGUCUGGGGCGAGUGGGCCAAACAGAAGUUCACCUGCAGUGUGGCUCACGCGGAGUCCCCCACCAUCAACAAGACCGUCAGCGCGUGUGCCAUGAACUUCAUUCCCCCCACCGUGAAGCUCUUCCACUCCUCGUGUGACCCCCUCGGUGACACCCGUAGCACCAUCCAGCUCCUGUGCCUCAUCUCCGGCUACGUCCCAGGUGACAUGGAGGUCACCCGGCUGGUGGAUGGGCAGAAGGCCACGAACAUGUUCCCGUACGCUGCCCCCGGCAGGCAGGAGGGCAAGGUGACCUCCACCCACAGCGAGCUCAACAUCACGCAGGGCAAUCAGGUGCUUUUGCUUUUCUGUACGGCACAAAGACUUCUUUUAAUAAAUAGAUUUUGUUUUUUAAUUUAUUGAAGUACAGUUGACGCA